rfam:Cavia porcellus supercont2_155 genomic scaffold, whole genome shotgun sequence.
GGGGAUUUAGCUCAGCGGUGUAAGCACCUGCCUUGCAAGCGCGAGGUCGUGAGUUCAAUCCCCA